rnacentral:piRNA from 1 species
UCAACAUGAUCUUGCAGUAAUGAUUCGGC